rnacentral:misc_RNA from 1 species
GCUGGGUGUAUCCAAGUUGCAGUAACAUGAGAAAGUGCAGCAGCAGCGGCAAUGCAUCUAUGUGCACUGAAGCCCAGACAUGUCAGAAGUAUUGUACUCCCGCUGGAGAAAGUGUGAUUAGGACUUAGGAGGGAACAAGUAAAAACAUCAAGUUCAAACAAAUGUAUAGCAAUACCGACAUUUUAAAUCCAUGAAGCUGAUAUGACGACUAUGCUACAAUUUCCUCAUCUUCUCUUAUUAGAAGUGGCUAUGUGAUUUCACAUACAUAGCUCAGGCAAAUAAUUCCAAAGUAAGCUCUUUUCUGGGCAUACAUUAGUCAGGAGAGACUUCACUCUGCUUGUUUCCACCUUUUGAAUAUCAAUAGCCAGAGCCCCUGCUAAUUGCUUUUUGAGCCACACCAUAUAAGUAGCAGCAAAGGUUGCUUGAGCUUGAUAGUCCUCAAAGUCACUGUCGGGUAGAACUGUGCAGGAACGGGAUAGUUCUAAUUCAUUAUCUAUGAGCAUGUCAAUAUCAACCGCCCUGAUGUUUCUCUGGUUAGACGGCAAGGAUCUAUCAUGAUCACCACAUGCAAAAUAUCUUAUCCAGCAAGUUAAGAGGAAGCGGCGAUGAAGCCACAAUGCCUCUCUCCCCACAUAACGUUUUAUCAACUUCUCCACCCAGUUGAACUCAUCCUUCAACAAUUUAUGAAGUUCUG